GGUGAAUUUUUGCAGUGAACAAGCAUUUGCUCUAUGAAUUCAUUGAGAUGGGCCUCCUAAGUGCUGGUCCAGAUGGUUGUGUUUCGGUCUCUAAGGAAGUAUGAAUCAUCCUACUUAGACAAUGAUGAAGAAUCUGAUCUUGGCAACAAGAAGAUUUUAGACUUUUAUUGUUGGUUGGGACAGGUUAACAACCCUGCAGAUGGUGAAAUUAUAGCUACUGUUCCAUGCAUGGGUGAGAUGGAAACGAAAGAUGCGAUUUCGGCAACGUAUGAUGCUUUUACCCGUAUGGAGCCAAACAAUCUCUUAUAGCUAGAUAUGUGCCUGUUACGCUUCAUUGUAAAGGGGAAAGGGAUUCAGAUGCAAACAACCUCUAAGAGAAGCUAUUGCAGAGCCGGUUGGUGUGGUUGGUGUAAUCACUCCAUGGAAUUUCCCCAUCGCAAAGAUUGCUCGCAAGGUUGGCCCUGCUCUUGCCUGUGGCUGUACUAUGGUCAUAAAGCCCUCUGAGCUCACACCAUUGACCGCCUUAGCAUUGGUGAUUCUCUACUAGAGAGCACACAGGUCAGGAAGAUAACAUUUACUGGUUCCACCAUUGUUGGAAAGAAGCUGAUGGCUGGUCCAUCAAAGACUGUUAAAAAGGUAUCUCUUGAACUUGGUGGUAACGUGCCUUGCAUAAUAUUCGAUGAUGCUGACCUGGAAUUGGCAGUGAAGGGGAGUUUGUCAACUAAAUUCAAUAACACUGGACAACAAUGUGUAUGCACAAAUAGAAUACUUGUGCAAGAAGGUAUGUAUUAGUGAGUUAUAGAAGUUAAAGGAGUGCUUUUGUAAUUGUCAGUUGUAAAAGGGGUCAGUUGUAAAUGAUUAAUUAACUCAGCUUGGCUGCUACUUGUUUAAUCUUUUGCAAUAAAGGAUUACCAGUCAACUUAAAAAGGUAUUCCUUUUCUGUUCUUAACAUACGUAUAGUUGAAAUUCUAAUAAGAUGUUUUCAUAAGUUGUUUUGGUAUUAUUUAAUGAUCUCUUAUGUUUUCAUUAUGAUUAUUUUACUUUGUUAGUUGUUUGAAUUUUUAUAAAUUUGACUUUUUUAUGCAGUCUAUUCAACAAGAUAACUAAGAAGACAAUAUUGGGUUGAAUUUUUGUACAUGUUUUCUAGAGGAUUGUGUUGUGUGCAAAGGAACUACGGAUAAUAUAACUGUGUUUCUUGCAGCCUGAAGAAAGGCAGCCGUUUUCCCCCUUCAUUUGCUGAAUGAUUAGACAAGGCAGUAAAACUCAAGUUUUCACUUGCCCUAUCAUUGGACAAUAAUUACUUUCCAAGACAUGGAGGCUGGUAAUUGCCAAUAGAAUGUAAUGAUUUUUACAUAUUCUUGUAUCUUGAUAAUUGCCAACAGAAUGUAUUGAUUUUUCUUUUGCCAAAAUCUGUUGAUUAUAUAGUUG